GGGUUGUGAGGUUAAGCGACUAAGCGUACACGGUGGAUGCCCUGGCAGUCAGAGGCGAUGAAGGACGUGCUAAUCUGCGAUAAGCGUCGGUAAGGUGAUAUGAACCGUUAUAACCGGCGAUUUCCGAAUGGGGAAACCCAGUGUGUUUCGACACACUAUCAUUAACUGAAUCCAUAGGUUAAUGAGGCGAACCGGGGGAACUGAAACAUCUAAGUACCCCGAGGAAAAGAAAUCAACCGAGAUUCCCCCAGUAGCGGCGAGCGAACGGGGAGCAGCCCAGAGCCUGAAUCAGUGUGUGUGUUAGUGGAAGCGUCUGGAAAGGCGCGCGAUACAGGGUGACAGCCCCGUACACAAAAAUGCACAUACUGUGAGCUCGAUGAGUAGGGCGGGACACGUGGUAUCCUGUCUGAAUAUGGGGGGACCAUCCUCCAAGGCUAAAUACUCCUGACUGACCGAUAGUGAACCAGUACCGUGAGGGAAAGGCGAAAAGAACCCCGGCGAGGGGAGUGAAAAAGAACCUGAAACCGUGUACGUACAAGCAGUGGGAGCCUCUUUAUGGGGUGACUGCGUACCUUUUGUAUAAUGGGUCAGCGACUUAUAUUCUGUAGCAAGGUUAACCGAAUAGGGGAGCCGAAGGGAAACCGAGUCUUAACUGGGCGUUAAGUUGCAGGGUAUAGACCCGAAACCCGGUGAUCUAGCCAUGGGCAGGUUGAAGGUUGGGUAACACUAACUGGAGGACCGAACCGACUAAUGUUGAAAAAUUAGCGGAUGACUUGUGGCUGGGGGUGAAAGGCCAAUCAAACCGGGAGAUAGCUGGUUCUCCCCGAAAGCUAUUUAGGUAGCGCCUCGUGAAUUCAUCUCCGGGGGUAGAGCACUGUUUCGGCAAGGGGGUCAUCCCGACUUACCAACCCGAUGCAAACUGCGAAUACCGGAGAAUGUUAUCACGGGAGACACACGGCGGGUGCUAACGUCCGUCGUGAAGAGGGAAACAACCCAGACCGCCAGCUAAGGUCCCAAAGUCAUGGUUAAGUGGGAAACGAUGUGGGAAGGCCCAGACAGCCAGGAUGUUGGCUUAGAAGCAGCCAUCAUUUAAAGAAAGCGUAAUAGCUCACUGGUCGAGUCGGCCUGCGCGGAAGAUGUAACGGGGCUAAACCAUGCACCGAAGCUGCGGCAGCGACACUAUGUGUUGUUGGGUAGGGGAGCGUUCUGUAAGCCUGCGAAGGUGUGCUGUGAGGCAUGCUGGAGGUAUCAGAAGUGCGAAUGCUGACAUAAGUAACGAUAAAGCGGGUGAAAAGCCCGCUCGCCGGAAGACCAAGGGUUCCUGUCCAACGUUAAUCGGGGCAGGGUGAGUCGACCCCUAAGGCGAGGCCGAAAGGCGUAGUCGAUGGGAAACAGGUUAAUAUUCCUGUACUUGGUGUUACUGCGAAGGGGGGACGGAGAAGGCUAUGUUGGCCGGGCGACGGUUGUCCCGGUUUAAGCGUGUAGGCUGGUUUUCCAGGCAAAUCCGGAAAAUCAAGGCUGAGGCGUGAUGACGAGGCACUACGGUGCUGAAGCAACAAAUGCCCUGCUUCCAGGAAAAGCCUCUAAGCAUCAGGUAACAUCAAAUCGUACCCCAAACCGACACAGGUGGUCAGGUAGAGAAUACCAAGGCGCUUGAGAGAACUCGGGUGAAGGAACUAGGCAAAAUGGUGCCGUAACUUCGGGAGAAGGCACGCUGAUAUGUAGGUGAAGUCCCUCGCGGAUGGAGCUGAAAUCAGUCGAAGAUACCAGCUGGCUGCAACUGUUUAUUAAAAACACAGCACUGUGCAAACACGAAAGUGGACGUAUACGGUGUGACGCCUGCCCGGUGCCGGAAGGUUAAUUGAUGGGGUCAGCGCAAGCGAAGCUCUUGAUCGAAGCCCCGGUAAACGGCGGCCGUAACUAUAACGGUCCUAAGGUAGCGAAAUUCCUUGUCGGGUAAGUUCCGACCUGCACGAAUGGCGUAAUGAUGGCCAGGCUGUCUCCACCCGAGACUCAGUGAAAUUGAACUCGCUGUGAAGAUGCAGUGUACCCGCGGCAAGACGGAAAGACCCCGUGAACCUUUACUAUAGCUUGACACUGAACAUUGAGCCUUGAUGUGUAGGAUAGGUGGGAGGCUUAGAAGUGUGGACGCCAGUCUGCAUGGAGCCGACCUUGAAAUACCACCCUUUAAUGUUUGAUGUUCUAACGUUGACCCGUGAUCCGGGUUGCGGACAGUGUCUGGUGGGUAGUUUGACUGGGGCGGUCUCCUCCUAAAGAGUAACGGAGGAGCACGAAGGUUGGCUAAUCCUGGUCGGACAUCAGGAGGUUAGUGCAAUGGCAUAAGCCAGCUUGACUGCGAGCGUGACGGCGCGAGCAGGUGCGAAAGCAGGUCAUAGUGAUCCGGUGGUUCUGAAUGGAAGGGCCAUCGCUCAACGGAUAAAAGGUACUCCGGGGAUAACAGGCUGAUACCGCCCAAGAGUUCAUAUCGACGGCGGUGUUUGGCACCUCGAUGUCGGCUCAUCACAUCCUGGGGCUGAAGUAGGUCCCAAGGGUAUGGCUGUUCGCCAUUUAAAGUGGUACGCGAGCUGGGUUUAGAACGUCGUGAGACAGUUCGGUCCCUAUCUGCCGUGGGCGCUGGAGAACUGAGGGGGGCUGCUCCUAGUACGAGAGGACCGGAGUGGACGCAUCACUGGUGUUCGGGUUGUCAUGCCAAUGGCACUGCCCGGUAGCUAAAUGCGGAAGAGAUAAGUGCUGAAAGCAUCUAAGCACGAAACUUGCCCCGAGAUGAGUUCUCCCUGACCCUUUAAGGGUCCUGAAGGAACGUUGAAGACGACGACGUUGAUAGGCCGGGUGUGUAAGCGCAGCGAUGCGUUGAGCUAACCGGUACUAAUGAACCGUGAGGCUUAACCUUACAACGCCGAAGCUGUU
rnacentral:rRNA from 1 species